GACCAGACUCCUACGGGAGGCAGCAGUGGGGAAUAUUGCACAAUGGGGGAAACCCUGAUGCAGCGACGCCGCGUGAGCGAUGAAGUAUUUCGGUAUGUAAAGCUCUAUCAGCAGGGAAGAAAAUGACGGUACCUGACUAAGAAGCCCCGGCUAACUACGUGCCAGCAGCCGCGGUAAUACGUAGGGGGCAAGCGUUAUCCGGAUUUACUGGGUGUAAAGGGAGCGUAGACGGCUGUGCAAGCCAGAUGUGAAAGCCCGGGGCUCAACCCCGGGACUGCAUUUGGAACUGUGUGGCUGGAGUGUCGGAGAGGCAGGCGGAAUUCCUAGUGUAGCGGUGAAAUGCGUAGAUAUUAGGAGGAACACCAGUGGCGAAGGCGUCUUACUGGACCGAAACUGACGUUGAGGCUCGAAAGCGUGGGGAGCAAACAGGAUUAGAUACCCCGGUA
rnacentral:rRNA from 1 species